rnacentral:rRNA from 1 species
GACGAACGCUGGCGGCGUGCUUAACACAUGCAAGUCGAGCGGGAACCCAGGGAGGGGUAACCCUCCUUGGGGGAGAGCGGCGAACGGGUGAGUACCACGUGGGCAACCUGCCCCAGACACUGGGAUAACCCCGGGAAACCGGGGCUAAUACCGGAUACUCCGACCGGACCGCAUGAUCCGGUCGGGAAAGCUCCGACGGUCGGGGAUGGGCCCGCGGCCUAUCAGCUUGUUGGUGGGGUAACGGCCCACCAAGGCGACGACGGGUAGCUGGUCUGAGAGGACGGCCAGCCACACUGGGACUGAGACACGACCCAGACUCCUACGGGAGGCAGCAGUGGGGAAUCUUGCGCCAAUGCGCGAAAGCGUGACGCAGCGACGCCGCGUGGGGGAUGAAGGCCCUCGGGUUGUAAACCCCUUUCGCCAGGGACGAAGCGAAAGUGACGGUACCUGGAGAAGAAGUCCCGGCUAACUACGUGCCAGCCGCCGCAGUAAAAC